GGCGUGGCUACCUGCGAAAUGUCUUGGGGAACUGGAAGCAAGUUUUGAUCCAAGAGUACCCGAAUAAGGAAACUUCUAGAACUACUUCUUAAAUACAUAAAGAAGAAAGAGCAAACCCAGUGAAUUGAAACAUCUUAGUAACUGGAGGAAAAGAAAGCAAAAGCGAUUCUCGGAGUAGCGGCGAGCGAAAUGGGACUAGUCUAAACUCUAUUUCUAUAGAGGGUUGUGGGACAAUUUAGCAAGAUGAAAAUUGUUAGAUGAAACAGGUUGAAUACUGUACCAUAGAAGGUGAAAGUCCUGUAAUCAAAACAUAUACAUUUUUAAAUUGUAUCCCAAGUAGAAAGGGACACGUGGAACCCCUUUUGAAUUUGCGAGGACCACCUCGUAAGACUAAAUAUUCCUGAACAACCGAUAGUGAACCAGUACCGUGAGGGAAAGGUGAAAAGAACCCCGGGAGGGGAGUGAAAUAGAACAUGAAAUCGUGAGUUUACAAGCAGUAGGAGAGCGACUUAACGCUCAACUUCGUGCCUGUUGAAGAAUGAGCUGGCGACUUGUAGGUUGUGGCAAGGUUAAGAUAAGAGAAUAUCGGAGCCAUAGUGAAAGCGAGCCUGAAAAGGGCUUUAAGUCAUAAUUUACAGACCCGAACCCGGAUGAUCUAACCAUGGCCAGUGUGAAGCUUAGGUAACACUAAGUGGAGGUACCAACCGACUGUUGUUGAAAAAACAGCGGAUGAGUUGUGGUUAGGGGUGAAAUUCCAAUCGAAUCCGGAGCUAGCUGGAUCUCCCCGAAAUGCGUUGAGGCGCAGCGGUUAAUAUUUCU
rnacentral:rRNA from 1 species